CAGUAACUAAAAGUUCAAAGGAACGUGUUGUACCAUGCGUGAUUAACACCACAGGGUCCAAGGCAGUUAAAGGUGCUAUCAUUAGAUGCGAGUGUCCGAUACCAGUAACUAAAAGUUCAAAGGAACGUGUUGUACCAUGCGUGAUUAACACCACAGG